rnacentral:rRNA from 1 species
UACGUAGGGGGCAAGCGUUAUCCAGAUUUACUGGGCGUAAAGCGCGUGUAGGCGGCUGGUUAGGUGUGAUGUGAAAUCUUCCGGCUCAACCGGAAAACUGCAUUGCAAACCGGCCUGGCUAGAGUGCAGGAGAGGGAAGCGGAAUUCCAGGUGUAGCGGUGAAAUGCGUAGAUAUCAAGAGGAACACCUGAGGUGAAGACGGGUUGCUGGGCUGACACUGACGCUGAGGCGCGAAAGCCAGGGGAGCAAACGGG